rnacentral:rRNA from 1 species
CCUACGGGUGACAGCAGUGGGGAAUAUUGCACCAUGGGGGAAACCCUGAUGCAGCGACGCCGCGUGAGUGAAGAAGUAUCUCGGUACGUAAAGCUCUAUCAGCAGGAAAGAAACUGACGGUACCUGACUAAGAAGCCCCUGCGAACUACGUGCCAGCAGCCGCGGUCAAACGUAGGGGGCAAGCGUUAUCCUGCUGUCAUGGGUGUAAAGGGAGCGUAGUCGGGUGUGCAAGUACGGAGUGAAAGCCGAUGGGUUAAACAUGGUACUGCUGUGGAAACUGGAGGUCUUGAGUGGGAGAGAGGGAGGCGGAAUGCCUGGUGUAGCGGUGAAAUGCGUAGAUAUUAGGAGGAACCCCGGGGGCGAAGGCGGCCUGCUGGACCGUAACGGACGUUGAGGCACGAAAGCGUGGGGAGCAAACAGGAUUAGAUACCCUGGUAGUC